AUCCAUUGGAUGUAAGCUUCCAGGUAGGAACAUCGGCAAUCAUUGUCGAAUGAAUAUUAUGCAAGCUAUUCUGAAGUAAUGCAAGCUGCCUAUAUUGAGUCAUAGAUAAGGGGCCUCUAAUUUUAAUCUUCCAACUAAGGGUCUGACGAGACCACUAAGAUGCAACAGAGCAAUUAUGUUUCAAAACCUGAAGAUAAAGGUCCUCAAACAGAAAAGCUAGUGGAGCCAGCCCACACCA
rnacentral:lncRNA from 1 species